rnacentral:rRNA from 1 species
UACAGAGGUCCCAAGCGUUGUUCGGAUUCACUGGGCGUAAAGGGUGCGUAGGCGGUCGGGUAAGUCUGAUGUGAAAUCUCACAGCUUAACUGUGAAACUGCAUUGGAUACUAUCCGGCUAGAGGAAUGGAGGGGAGACUGGAAUACUUGGUGUAGCAGUGAAAUGCGUAGAUAUCAAGUGGAACACCAGUGGCGAAGGCGGGUCUCUGGGCCGAAACUGACGCUGAGGAGCGAAAGCGUGGGGAGCGAACAGG